AUCAACUUUCGAUGGUAGGAUAGAGGCCUACCAUGGUGGUAACGGGUAACGGGGUGUUAGGGCACGACACCGGAGAGGGAGCCUGAGAAACGGCUACCACAUCCAAGGAUGGCAGCAGGCGCGCAAAUUACCCAAUCCCGACACGGGGAGGUAGUGACAAUAAAUAACAAUACGGGGUUCUUUCGGAUUUCGUAAUUGGAAUGAGUACAAUUUAAAUCUCUUAACGAGGAACAAUUGGAGGGCAAGUCUGGUGCCAGCAGCCGCGGUAAUUCCAGCUCCAAUAGCGUAUAUUAAAGUUGUUGCAGUUAAAAAGCUCGUAGUUGAAUUUCGGGAUCAGUGGGUCGGUCGUGCCACUGGUAUGCACUGGCCCUACUGGUUCCUCCUUCUUGAAGAACUGUAAUGCCAUUAAUUUGGUGUUGCAGGGAAACAAGACUGUUACUUUGAAAAAAUUAGAGUGUUUAAAGCAGGCAAUCGCUUGAAUACAUUAGCAUGGAAUAAUGAAAUAGGACGAUCGAUCCUAUUUUGUUGGUUUCUAGGAUUGACGUAAUGAUUAAUAGGGAUAGUUGGGGGCAUUAGUAUUCAAUUGUCAGAGGUGAAAUUCUUGGAUUUAUUGAAGACUAACUUCUGCGAAAGCAUUUGCCAAGGAUGUUUUCAUUAAUCAAGAACGAAAGUUAGGGGAUCGAAGACGAUCAGAUACCGUCGUAGUCUUAACCAUAAACUAUGCCGACUAGGGAUCGGACGAUGUUAAUUUUUUAAUGACUCGUUCGGCGCCUUACGGGAAACCAAAGUGUUUGGGUUC
rnacentral:rRNA from 1 species